UUGCCUCAGUAACGGCGAGUGAAGCGGCAACAGCUCAAAUUUGAAAUCUGGCUCUUUCAGGGUCCGAGUUGUAAUUUGUAGAAGAUGCUUCGGGUGUGGUUCCGGUCUAAGUUCCUUGGAACAGGACGUCAUAGAGGGUGAGAAUCCCGUAUGUGACCGGCUACCUUCGCUCAUGUGAAGCUCUUUCGACGAGUCGAGUUGUUUGGGAAUGCAGCUCAAAAUGGGUGGUAAAUUUCAUCUAAAGCUAAAUAUUGGCCAGAGACCGAUAGCGCACAAGUAGAGUGAUCGAAAGAUGAAAAGCACUUUGGAAAGAGAGUUAAAUAGUACGUGAAAUUGUUGAAAGGGAAGCGCUUGCAAUCAGACUUGCACGCAGUUGAUCAUCCGGUGUUCUCACCGGUGCACUCUGCUGCGUUCAGGCCAGCAUCGGUUCUGGUGGUUGGAUAAAGGCCUUGGGAAUGUAGCUCCUUUCGGGGAGUGUUAUAGCCCUCGGUGCAAUGCAGCCUACCGGGACCGAGGACCGCGCUUCGGCUAGGAUGCUGGCGUAAUGGUUGUAAGCGACCCGUCUUGAAACACGGACCAAGGAGUCUAACAUCUAUGCGAGUGUUUGGGUGUCAAACCCAUACGCGUAAUGAAAGUGAACGGAGGUGAGAACCCUUAAGGGUGCAUCAUCGACCGAUCCUGAUGUCUUCGGAUGGAUUUGAGUAAGAGCAUAGCUGUUGGGACCCGAAAGAUGGUGAACUAUGCGUGAAUAGGGUGAAGCCAGAGGAAACUCUGGUGGAGGCUCGCAGCGGUUCUGACGUGCAAAUCGAUCGUCAAAUUUGCGCAUAGGGGCGAAAGACUAAU
rnacentral:rRNA from 1 species